rnacentral:rRNA from 1 species
ACAGCAGUAGCCGCGGGAAUACGGAGGGUGCAAGCGUUAAUCGGAAUUACUGGGCGUAAAGCGCACGCAGGCGGUCUGACAAGUCAGAUGUGAAAUCCCCGGGCUUAACCUGGGAACUGCAUUUGAAACUGUCAGGCUGGAGUCUUGUAGAGGGGGGUGGAAUUCCAGGUGUAGCGGUGAAAUGCGUAGAGAUCUGGAGGAAUACCGGUGGCGAAGGCGGCCCCCUGGACAAAGACUGACGCUCAGGUGCGAAAGCGUGGGGAGCAAACAGGAUUAGAUACCCCAGUAGUCCCUGUCUAUUAUAC